UAAGUUUCUGUGUCCGCGGGGCAUUGUUUUCCUUGUCGUGGGCUUUGGCGCAAGAUUCCUUUUCAGUCUUUUCAACUCUUUCAUAAUUUGGUGGACAUAACCCAUGACUGAAGUAAAAAGGGUAUCACGAGGCAUUUGCUCACAUGCAAGGCACCUCAUGGUGAUGUAGUGCCGAAUUUCUUCGAUUCUAACCCUGAUUAUAUCCCUUUCCAAAAUCUGUUGUUCUAUUCUCGAUUCUUUGCCCCCAGUAUUUGAACAUUGUCAGUGAGCUGAUCUUGGAACCUCUCCAUUUGCUCUUCCAUUCGGGCUAUUAAAUCAUAGCAAUGCUUUCUGUCCAUUCGGGCAACUUGGGCUUGUCUAAGGACUCUUUCUU
rnacentral:lncRNA from 1 species